UACGUAGGAGGCGAGCGUUGUCCGGAGUUACUGGGCGUAAAGGGUGCGCAGGCGGCCGCGCGCGUGGGUGGUGAAAUCUCCCGGCUCAACUGGGAGGGGGCCAUCCAGACGGCGUGGCUUGAGGCUCGGAGGGGGGCGUGGAAUUCCGGGUGGAGCGGUGAAAUGCGCAGAUAUCAGGAGGAACACCGGUGGCGAAGGCGGGUCUCUGGGCCGAUACUGACGCUGAGGAGCGAAAGCGUGGGGAGCGAACAGG
rnacentral:rRNA from 1 species